UACCAGCACCCCGAGUGGUCGGGACGUUUAUUGGGCCUAAAGCAUCCGUAGCCGGUUCUACAAGUCUUCCGUUAAAUCCACCUGCUCAACAGAUGGGCUGCGGAGGAUACUAUGGAGCUAGGAGGCGGGAGAGGCAAGCGGUACUCGAUGGGUAGGGGUAAAAUCCGUUGAUCCAUUGAAGACCACCAGUGGCGAAGGCGGCUUGCCAGAACGCGCUCGACGGUGAGGGAUGAAAGCUGGGGGAGCAAACCGG
rnacentral:rRNA from 1 species